rnacentral:rRNA from 1 species
UACGUAGGGGGCUAGCGUUGUCCGGAAUCAUUGGGCGUAAAGAGCGUGUAGGCGGCUCGGUAAGUCCGCUCUGAAAGCCCGGGGCUCAACCCCGGGAGGCGGGCGGAUACUGUCGAGCUAGAGUCCGGAAGAGGCGAGUGGAAUUCCUGGUGUAGCGGUGAAAUGCGCAGAUAUCAGGAGGGACACCAAUAGCGAAGGCAGCUCGCUGGGACGGUACUGACGCUGAGACGCGAAAGCGUGGGGAGCAAACAGG